rnacentral:lncRNA from 1 species
AAGUGACAUGUCAGAGCUGCGAUUGCCUUCAGUAGUCCAGUUUUAAGUCCAAAGCCUUAAUCGUUCUUUCUGGAUACCCAGUACCUUAUAAUGCAGGGCCAGUCCUGAGAUCUUCCCGUGUCUCCUCAAGAUCUGCCUAUUCCCAGCCUUUAAUCCCAAUUGGAUGCUUCACAUCGGUCC